rnacentral:rRNA from 1 species
UACAGAGGUCUCAAGCGUUGUUCGGAUUCAUUGGGCGUAAAGGGUGCGUAGGUGGCGCUGUAAGUCGGGUGUGAAAGUCAGGGGCUCAACCCUUGAAAGCCGGCCGAUACUGUCGGACUAGAGUCCGGAAGAGGCGAGUGGAAUUCCCGGUGUAGCGGUGAAAUGCGCAGAUAUCGGGAGGAACACCAAUGGCGAAGGCAGCUCGCUGGGACGGUACUGACGCUGAGGCGCGAAAGCGUGGGGAGCAAACAGG